GAUGAAGAACGUAGCGAAAUGCGAUAAGUAGUGUGAAUUGCAGAAUUCAGUGAAUCAUCGAAUCUUUGAACGCACAUUGCGCCCCUUGGUAUUCCAUGGGGCAUGCCUGUUCGAGCGUCAUUUGUACCUUCAAGCCUUGCUUGGUGUUGGGUGUUUGUCUCGCCUCUGCGCGCAGACUCGCCUCAAAACAAUUGGCAGCCGGCGUAUUGAUUUCGGAGCGCGGUACAUCUCGCGCUUUGCACUCAGAACGACGACGUCCAAAAGUACAUUUUUACACUCUUGACCUCGGAUCAGGUAGGGAUACCCGCUGAACUUAAGCAUAUCAAUAAGCGGAGGA
rnacentral:misc_RNA from 1 species